CAGCCGUAAACUAUGCGCGUUAGGUGUAUCGGUGACCACGAGUUACCGAGGUGCCGAAGGGAAACCGUGAAACGUGCCGCCUGGGAAGUACGGUCGCAAGGCUGAAACUUAAAGGAAUUGGCGGGGGAGCACCACAACAGGUGGAGCCUGCGGUUUAAUUGGACUCAACGCCGGACAUCUCACCGGAUAAGACAGCUGAAUGAUUGUCAAUCUGAAGGUUUUACAUGACUAGCUGAGAGGAGGUGCAUGGCGUCAGUGACU
rnacentral:rRNA from 1 species